AUAAACUCUGGCAGGAUAAGCACCGGAGUUUAUUGCUAUGCAUUAAUAGCAUGUGUAGAUGUGCCUGCUGUUGACUAACUACAGCCUUGAUUCUGCAAGGAGUCCGUGUGAGUUUAUUCCAGUAAAGUCAAUAGGUCUAUGUAUAGUCCUAAGGUUUGAUUGACAUGAUGGUUCUGGCAAGUUUGUGUUCUGAUUGUAAAUUUCUAUUGCUUGUCAUAUGCAGAGGUCAAGAAAAUAAACAUAAGUAGACUUGCCAGAAUUACACUUACGAAAGCUAUUACCAUAUUUCUGACACAGAAGUUACCAGGAGACAAGGAACUCUUGGAUGCCACUUCUGGAUCUUUAUUUUCAGAAUUGUGUUGUAAUUCUAAGCAUUUUUAUGGCAUACUUAUUUUUUUCUGGGAAUACAGAAUAUUAAAAUACAGAGAAUAGACUGAUGUUUGUAUUUUCUAUGAGAUUAAUCAUCAUAACAUUAUUUGUCUUGAAACAUUCAAGGUAAGUCUGCUUUCUUAAUAGAUUACUAAAAGGACGCUUACCAAUAGCUCUCCUCUUUAAUUUGCAAUUAUAUUUUUGUUUGCAGAUACUAAAACACCUCCUGCCUCUCUCAUCUAGAUUUGAAUUUUAUUCAGAACCAAAUUAAUUCGGAACUGAAGCAGUCAACUUUCUCACCAAAUUACUUGAAUUGCUUAUUAAAAAGACAUUAAAGAUUGUUGUGGUCUCAUGACAUUGGAUGAUUGGAUAAAAAAGAGAUGCACUAACCUUAAUGACUGCUUCUCCUGCACUUGUUCCAGUGCUGACUAACCAGGAAUAGAAUAGAAGAGAUUGAUUAGUCAUACUCUCCCCCUUGAGUGCUGUUGAGCCACUCUUAAAGUUCUAUGAGGGUAGCAUUCUCUUUAGAGAGAUCAUUGAAGGACACUAAAAUAUCUUGAGAGCACAGUCUGUCCCCUCCUUAAUCCCAGCAUCCUACAAAGGUGAAGUGGAAAAAAGCCAAUUAAUGCUAAAAAAAAAAAUGUUCAGAGAGGUGAAGUUCUUGUAUCACCGCUUGAAGAAAUGAAGCAUAGGGCAACAGACUGUUGGUAAACCUCUCCAGAUCCUCAGGGGUGCAUAAAAGUAGAUGGAAGUAACACCAUAAGCAGGGCCAGGAAAGGGCUUUUAAAGCAUUUAUUCUAGCAUCCCAUGAAAUGAACAUGGCCUGGUGCUACACUGGAACCAUCUUUUAAGUUGUCUUUCCCAGGAUGCUGUGUUCACAGAGAACAGGACAAAAAGCAGGAAAUAAGGGAAAUGUGGGUUAGUUAUUAGGAAGAACUUUCUAAUUAUGAGGUUGAUUGAGCAUUGGAACAGAGUUCCCAGGGAGGUAGUAAAAUCUUCAUCACUGAAGGAUUUUACGUGCAGGCUAAACAAACACUUAGCUAGGAUGAUUUAGACAGGGAUGAUCCUGCCUUGAGUAGGGAGGGGGUUGGAGUAGAAGACUUCCUCAGGUCUCUUCCUACCCUGUUUUUCUGUGGUCCUAUGAUCACAGUUAUGGACUGGGAAGAGCUGUUGACAUCUAGAAAGUCAAGUGAUAUGAAUGGGAAAUCUAUAGAUCUUGCUCAAAAGACGCUCACAAUUCUCAUUGCUUUGGUUGUCAGGCUUGGUAAGGCUGCUUAAAGAAUUACUGCCUGCAAAGCUUUUUUUCCUGGCAAUAAAAUAAAACUUCAGAAAAUGCCCAGUUUAGGAAAUCAAGAUAUUGGGUUGAACACAUAGGAAAUUGAUUACAUUAGAAUAUAUUACUUAAAUGUGUUUAUUUUGUAUUUCUUUAAAUAUAAAUAAUAAGAAAAAAGGAAAUUGGGAGAUGCAUCUGUGAAAGCUCUGUGUGCCCCAACACCUGGCUGGUCUUACAGCUAAAUAGCAGCAUUUAAAAACAGUAAAGAAAUUAACACAGCCAAACACCAAAAGAUGUCCUAAAUCCCUGAUGUUUCUAUAUUUAAUUAUUCUGUUGUGGGACAUACAGUAAUAGUCCCCGCACCAUAGUAAUCUUGUCACUUUUCUAUUGUGAAUAUGUAUACUGAUGGUAGGGGAGAAGAGAUAAGAGGAGAGGUACGUUGGAACACAGGACUUGUUUAUCGUCUAAUGAGAAUUUUCUUAUAAAUAAAGCUAGAGCUUUUGAAUGGGAAGUCUCUUGGGUAGCGAGUUUCUCUAGCAACAGUGCUGUCAUUCAGUUUGUCAGCAUUUUCAUUAAAAAAAUCCUCUCACCAUGCUUUAUGUAUAUAAAUAUAUAUUGGCAAAAAGCUGUCAGCCUUCUGCAGGCUAGAGCUUGCCAAACAGGUGCACUGUUCAGUCUGAGCUUGCUUUAUAUCAUUUUUGUCUUUGAGUCAUUUUGGCAUAAGGCAAAUCACAAUGCUGAUUUCACAUGAGUUUUUACUGGCCUAUUGCCAGGUAUUGUUAUUGCUGGCUGCUUGUACACAUACAGCACUUGUGUGUGUGGGCAUAUAAUGUAAUAAAACAAAUUUCCCUAAGCCUGCAGUUUGGAAUAGAGAGGGGCACCUUUGGAUAACUGUAUUUGUUUAUUUAGAUUUGAAUACAGUAAAAAUCCCUAUGUCUAAACUCUGGGUGUCCUCAUUAUUAAUUAAAAUCGUAAUCUGCAGAAUGAUGAUUAACCAGUAGCGUAAGAAUAGUUUUUCUUGCCAAGUGAGAUUUUAUGUUUAACAGCAGAGUAAUUAAUAUGUGAAAACUAUUUAUUAUGCAUAAUAUUUUCCAAUAAAUAAGUUUCUAGUGAAAAACGGUACCAUUUCUUCACCAAUUUAGCAUAUCUUUUUAUGUAAUCUAUAUGCUGUAUUACACACAAAAUACUUUAUUUCAGGAACAUUAGUAAGAUGGAAAAGACAAGAGUACAAAGUUAAUACUGUAGUCCUCUACAGUAUGCAUCCCCCCCC